GAUGAACGCUAGCGGGAGGCUUAACACAUGCAAGUCGAGGGGCAGCAUAGGGUAGCAAUACUCUGAUGGCGACCGGCAAACGGGUGAGUAACGCGUAUGCAACCUACCCUGUACAGGGGGAUAACCCGGAGAAAUUCGGACUAAUAUCCCGUAAUAAUAUCCGGAGGCAUCUUUGGAUAUUUAAAGUUCCGACGGUACGGGAUGGGCAUGCGUAACAUUAGCUGGUUGGUAAGGUAACGGCUUACCAAGGCUAUGAUGUUUAGGGGUCCUGAGAGGGUGGUCCCCCACACUGGUACUGAGACACGGACCAGACUCCUACGGGAGGCAGCAGUGAGGAAUAUUGGUCAAUGGGCGCAAGCCUGAACCAGCCAUCCCGCGUGCAGGAAGACGGCCCUAUGGGUUGUAAACUGCUUUUCCGAGGGAGAAGAAACUUACGCACGUGUUGCGUGACUGACGGUACCUGGGAAUAAGCAUCGGCUAACUCCGUGCCAGCAGCCGACGGUAAAAGUGUGU
rnacentral:rRNA from 1 species